GGCACCGACGAUGAACAAAUAGAUAACUCUUGUUGUCGACGGUGGAGAGGAAGAAGUUGCGGUGGA
rnacentral:sRNA from 1 species